rnacentral:misc_RNA from 1 species
CACCCAUUAUCCACAGCCGAAUGCUCCCACAGGCAAAGAGGCAUCGCAUCAUGUCUGGGGUGGUCACCGCCCUUGUAAAGAGGCACCCCAUUUUGACUGCGUCACGAGUACGCAUCGUGGUUGUGUCCGUGUUUUGCUUUCUCCUGGCUGUCGCUCUUCGUCUGUUAUUCCGCUACGCGCAUUUGUCAUCGAAGGACACGAAAAGAAUCAGCGGCAGACGCAGCCGCACCGCAAAGAAGGAGCACAGCAAGAGUCAUGGUGGUAGCCGAAGUAGUGGCGGAGGCGGCAGCUCCUCGACGCGGAAAAAGACGGACCCGUCGCUGCCUACAGUUCUCAUGCUAAUUGGGAUUCAUGGCAGUGGAAAGAGUUUCUGGGCGAAGCGGUACACCGAGAUUGUGCACAAGUCGUAUGUCAUUAUCUCCUCCGAUGCCAUCCGUAGCCGUCUUACCGGCAGCAUCAACAACUACACGCGAGAGGUCGAGGUUGAAGAGAGCAUCCUGAAGGAGGUGAUGCACACGUUGGAGCUGCGGCGUAGCUGCAUCGUCGACGACUGCCAGCACAAUUUAUCCCCUGAAUUUCGGGCAAAACUGAGGGCGUUAGCACCAGAUGGAAAGGUGAAUCGCGUGGUGAAGAUCUUCUCUGUUAAGCCGUCUUACGCAAUGAUGCGCAUACAGAGCGAUAUAGAGGAGGGUACAGCGCGCUACGCACCUACCAUGGUGGAGCUUGAGAAGCAGGGAGAGCAAGUGGCGGAGUUCGAGGCGACAAACAAGGAUGAUGACUGGAUGAGGAACUGAUGGUAUGCCACUGUACAAGUGCGGGAAGACAUUUUAGGUGUCACCGUGGAGAUUUCGCACAGACACACACGGGCACGCAUGCGUACACAACCUCGUUUGAGUCUUUUCAUGAGCAUUAGCUGUUUUUUUUUUUCUAGAAGGAGCAGCAGCCAAGCGAAGACGGAGGCGCCAUGGCUUUUGUAUUAUUAUGCUUGUGUCACGUUAGCUCUCUCCUCUGCUGCAGUACCCUUUGGCUGCCUCUCUCCGCUGUGAAGCAUGUGCAUGUUUUUUUUUUUCUGUGUGUGUAUGCGUGUUCUGCUCGGUGCAAAUGAGCUAAGAGUCGUGAUUACAACCGCUAAACCCCUUGCUCUCUCUUUGUGUGCGUGCGCGCGCCUGCGAAAAGUUACCACCUAGUUGUCUCUAUCGUCCAAAAGCCUUCUGUGUCCUCUGAGAGUGUUUUCUUGGCCUCAUUGUGUAUGUGUGGUUGGUGUUGCUGUUGUUGUUUUUCGCUGGCCUCUCCCUUUUGCUUCUUUGGCGGGUACUUUUCACUUAGAUCUGCAUGAUGUUGUUCUCACCACUACUCUCCUCUCGCCUACCUCCCGAUGGCGACGUUCUCUUCUCUUGUGUUUUUUUCUCUUAGAUCAUGGUCAUCGGCCCAAGAAAACAGUGGCGAAAAGAACGUCCGUCAGACUGGCAUACGGGAGCCGAGCGCAUGAGCAGCGUCCAUCGCGACAGCUUUGCUUUCUCUCGCACACGCGCACGUAUACGUCUCCCUCCUACUCCCUCGGUGAACUGGUAGCUGUUAUCCUCGAGCUGGCAGACAUGGUGCCGUGUCUACAUGGGCUGACGCGUGGCCUCGCUGCCACGUCGACGUGUACACUCUUCUCUAGCGGCGGGAAGGGAAGAAAUGGUGGGGGUGAUUGUCGUGCAUUAGGCAGACCCCCCCCUCCCUCCUGCUCGUUCUUUGAUAUCACUUCCAUCUGAAAUGUGCUGCUCGCACUCCGGCUUCUGCGAGCGCCUCUCCCCUGCCACACUUCCCCCCAUCCGUGCCGUUGCUCUCCCUCGACCCUUUCCCGCAAAAACUGGUGACCCAUUACGGCAG